CUUUCAAUCUGUGAUCCCAUGAUUUUGAACUGGACACUACCAUUGCCAUCUCUUAGCCCAACUCCUUCAUUUGACAGAUUCAGUUGCUAGAUCCAGGUCCAAGGAAAUGAGCAGAAGUCCAGAAUAGUGAAGUGGGGCUUGAGCCCAGGUCCGCAGACUCCAGUGUUCUUUCCAUUUAAGCCUUAGCAAUAGAUUGGACAUGGUGGGUGAGAGAUAGUGAGGGGUGGAGGAUAACACCUACAUUGGGAUCAUGGGGGACAGGAGAAUAAUGGUACCCUUGACAGAAAUAGGGCAGUUUGGAAAGGGAGAAGAUUUAGAGGAAAAGAUGAGUUCCAUCUUGGACAUAUGGGGUUUGAUGUCUACCAGAUAUUUGGUUUGAGAUAUCUAAAUGGCGAUUGGAUGCCUGAGUCUAGAAGUCAGCAGAGAGGUUAAGACUGAAUAGAGAGAUUCGAGAAUCAUCAGAUCAGAGAAGAUAAUUAAAUCUGAAGGAGCUGAUGAUAUCAUCAAAUGAAAUAGUCCAGAGGGAGAAGAGAAGAGAGCCCUGUAAGGACACCUUUGGUUCGAGGCAUGAUCUGGGUGAGGAUCUAGCAAAGGAGGCAGAGGAGGAGCAGUCAGACCGAAAGGAAGACAAUGGUGGCCUGAAAACCUGGAGAGAAGAGUAUCAAGGAAAAAAGAGCGUGAUUGUGAGUGUCAAAGUCUACAGAGAGUUCUUUUUCUGGAUGUGGAUAGCAUUUCUCAUAUUUUCAAUAAACAUUUAUGAAGAACCUACUAUGAGCCAGGCUAAGCUCUGAAGGUACAAUGAAUAAAAAAGAAAGAGUUCCUGCUGUCGAGGAGCUU
rnacentral:lncRNA from 1 species